ACCAGUCCAGUAACUCCUGCUUACAUAGGGAAAAUAGAUACCAGCUUUAUGCCAACAAAAGUGUGGAGUGAUCCCUUAAACUGCCCCACUGCCAAGGCUGAUAGAAGAGACAAACACUUCAAGUUGGAGGAUGAGGGCAGUUCCAGUGGGACACCGGGCUCUGCCAAACCUCUGCCUUCCCGACUGAGCUGAGUUCCUUGUUUCACACAGGACAGCUGACUCUGGGGAGUUGUCUGGAGUGCCUCAGAAGCCCUUCAGGUGCCUUCAAGCCCUGUCUCUUCUAGGAGUGAUUCCUGCAGUCCAUGAGCUUGUCCCAUGGCACCCCUGUGGCAGCAGUGUGUUCCCUUGAAGAUGAGAAGGAUCUUGUAACUCCUUGCACUGCGGGAAGGGUUUUGCAUCUUACCUCUUCUCCAGUGCCUGGGGGCGGUAUGCAGACACACCACAUCACCGUCUGCCGCCUGGCUCCGCAGAGCCUAAUGGGCUGGAAGUUCAGCCUUGUUCUUGCAUCAUCUAUUGCUGACCUUCAAAAGAAAAAUAGGGGAUUUGUGUCCAGGAAGGAGGCUUUGAAAAUUUAAUUUGGUUUGGAUUUUCUUUUUGAGAUAGGGAUUUGUGUUUCUUUUCUAUAUUCUUGGGUUUUUUUUUUUUUUUCAGCUGUAGCAGUGUCAGCUUCUUUCUGAAAAUUUGGUGGUGGUCUUAACAAUAUGGGCUUCUGCCUUUCUCAAAUCUUCAUAAGCAUUACGGUGUGUUAAAGAUGGAAAAAGCCCCAGCCUUCCCACAGGUGUGUUCCCUAGGCAGAAGAACCACUUUGUUCACACUGCCACGGAGCUGGCUGAAGGUGCCAUGACCCCCACGCUGCCCAAGGCUGUCACCAGCCCUGCCCCUGGCAUGCCAGCAGCGCUGUGUGUGUGACAGCUGCAUUCCUGUGCGGCAGACAGCGUGCCUGCCCUGCCUAGCCGGGCAGAGGCAGCUCCAGCACCUGGUGGAGGAAGGGGGUGCGGUGCUGGGAUGAGUAACUGUGGGAAUAUUAGCCCUCCCCUCGGUGCUGUGCAAACAAGGCAGCUGUGCUGCCGGGGAUGUGGCUCACAGCUGACAGGCACCAGGCACGGAGCAGGCUCCUAUCUGCAGAAGAGCAUGUAGACACAGCCUCGCUUGUUUAGCUCUGUGUUAACAGCAAAAAACAAAUCCUAAGUGGACUAAACAAAUCUCAUCGUGGCAAAGUGCUUCAUCAAUUACUAAUUCAGCCUCUGGCAGACUAAUAGGGAAUAAAGCUGUUUACCUCAGA